rnacentral:rRNA from 1 species
UACGUAGGGUGCGAGCGUUGUCCGGAAUUAUUGGGCGUAAAGAGCUCGUAGGCGGCGUGUCACGUCGGCCGUGAAAACCUGCAGCUUAACUGUGGGCGUGCGGUCGAUACGGGCAUCACUGGAGUUCGGCAGGGGAGACUGGAAUUCCUGGUGUAGCGGUGAAAUGCGCAGAUAUCAGGAGGAACACCGGUGGCGAAGGCGGCUCUCUGGAACGCAACUGACGCUGAGACGCGAAAGCGUGGGGAGCAAACAGG